rnacentral:tRNA from 1 species
AAGGAUUUAAGUUAAAAUAAACUCUCAACCUUCAAAGUUGAUAAUAGAGGCAACCUCUAAGCCUUA